AGUGAACGCUGGCGGUAGGCCUAACACAUGCAAGUCGAACGGCAGCACAGUAAGAGCUUGCUCUUACGGGUGGCGAGAGGCGGACGGGAGAGGAAUAUAUCGGAAUCUACUUUUUCGUGGGGGUUAACGUAGGGAAACUUAAGCUAAUACCGCAUACGACCUACGGGUGAAAGCAGGGGAUCUUCGGACCUUGCGCGAUUGAAUGAGCCGAUGUCGGAUUAGCUAGUUGGCGGGGUAAAGGCCCACCAAGGCGACGAUCCGUAGCUGGUCUGAGAGGAUGGUCGCCCACACUAGAACUUGGACACGGACCAUGCUCCUGCGGUACGCAGCAGUGUGGUAUAUUAGACAGUGGGCGCAAGCCUUAUCCAGCCGUACCGCGUGGGUUAAGAAGGCCUUCGGUUUGUAAAGCCCUUUUGUUGGGAAAGAAAAGCUUCAGGUUAAGACCCCGCUGUUCUGACGGUACCCAAAGAAUAAGCACCGGCUAACUUCGUG
rnacentral:rRNA from 1 species